rnacentral:tRNA from 1 species
GCUCGUAGCUUAGUUGAUAAAGCGUUCGUUUAGUAUACAAGAGUACUGGGUUCGAAUCCCAGCCAAGCA